AUACCAGCACCCCGAGUGGUCGGGACGAUUAUUGGGCCUAAAGCAUCCGUAGCCGGUUCUACAAGUCUUCCGUUAAAUCCACCUGCUUAACAGAUGGGCUGCGGGGGAUACUAUGGAGCUAGGAGGCGGGAGAGGCAAGCGGUACUUAGUGGGUAGGGGUAAAAUCCGUUGAUCCAUUGAAGACCACCAGUGGCGAAGGCGGCUUGCCAGAACGCACUCGACGGUGAGGGAUGAAAGCUGGGGGAGCAAACCGGAUUAGAUACCCGGGUAGUCCCAGCUGUAAACGAUGCAGACGCGGUGAUGAAUAGGCUUCGUGCCUAUUCAGUGCCGCAGGGAAGCCGUUAAGUCUGCCGCCUGGGGAGUACGGUCGCAAGACUGAAACUUAAAGGAAUUGGCGGGG
rnacentral:rRNA from 1 species